rnacentral:tRNA from 1 species
UGUCUGUAGUAAAAGUUAUUAUGGUUGCCUUCCAAGCAAAAGUUCCGUUGGUUUCGGCAGAUACU